UGGGGAAUUUUGCACAAUGGGGGAAACCCUGAUGCAGCGACGCCGCGUGAUUUAGAAGGCCUUCGGGUUGUAAAAAUCUUUUGUAUGGGAAGAAAAUGACAGUACCAUACGAAUAAGGACCGGCUAAUUACGUGCCAGCAGCCGCGGUAAUACGUAAGGUCCGAGCGUUGUCCGGAAUCAUUGGGCGUAAAGGGUACGUAGGCGGAUAAGCAAGUUAGAAGUGAAAUCCUAUAGCUCAACUAUAGUAAGCUUUUAAAACUGCUCAUCUUGGGGUAUGGAAGGGAAAGUGGAAUUCCUAGUGUAGCGGUGAAAUGCGCAGAUAUUAGGAGGAAUACCGGUGGCGAAGGCGACUUUCUGGCCAUAAACUGACGCUGAGGUACGAAAGCGUGGGUAGCAAACAGG
rnacentral:rRNA from 1 species